GACGAACGCUGGCGGCGUGCUUAACACAUGCAAGUCGAACGAAGUGGCGAACGGGUGAGUAAUACGUGGGUAACCUGCCCUCCUUUUUGGGAUAAGCCUUGGAAACGGGGUCUAAUACCGAAUAAAGGGGGAUGGGCUCGGGGCCUAUCGGCUUGUUGGUGGGGUUAUGGCCUACCAAGGCGGUGACGGGUAGCCGGGCUGAGAGGGUAAACGGCCACUUUGGGACUGAGAUGAGGCCCAGGGGCCGCAGGGGGGGGGAAGUGGGGGAUAUGGGACAAUGGGCGAAAGCCUGAUGCCGCGAGGACGCGGGGGGGAUGCAGGCUUUCGAGUUGUUAAGCUCUUGAGCUAUAGAAAGGGUAGGUGGAGAAGAAGCGCCGGCUAACUACGUGCCAGCAGCCGCGGUAAUAC
rnacentral:rRNA from 1 species